rnacentral:rRNA from 1 species
CACCAGCGCCACGAGUGGCUAUCACGAUUAUUGGGCCUAAAGCGUCCGUAGUCUGCUUUGUGCAUCCUCUGUGAAAUUGCAGCGCUUAACGUUGCAGCAUGCGGAGGACACGGCAAAGCUUGAGACCGGGAGGCGUCAUAGGUAUUCUUAGGGGACCGGUAAAAUGGUAUAAUCCUAAGAGGACCACCUGUGGUGAAGACGUAUGACGAGAACGGAUCUGACGAUGAGGGACGAAAGCCAGGGGAGCAAACCGG